rnacentral:rRNA from 1 species
UACGUAGGGGGCGAGCGUUGUCCGGAGUUACUGGGCGUAAAGCGCACGCAGGCGGUCUGCUAAGUUUGGAGUGACAGUUGGUGGCUUAACUGCCAAAGUGCUUCGAAAACUGACAGACUUGAGGGCUUCAGAGGGACACGGAAUUCCGGGUGGAGUGGUGAAAUGCGUAGAGAUCCGGAGGAACACCAAAGGCGAAGGCAGUGUCCUGGGGAGUACCUGACGCACAGGUGCGAAAGCCAGGGGAGCGAACGGG